AGUGUUUACAUUGAAAGCUAGGAACACCUCCAGUUGCAGUCACUCAGAAUGAACCAGAGAGACUUCAGAGUUGAUGGAGGCAUACUAUGCCUCCAUCCAUUUAGAUCUGCUGUCAGCAGAGCACAUGGCAGCACUGUGCACAGCAUCCUGUGAUUCAGUAUCGCCUCCCUCUGCAUGCAGACGCUGACCAUUCCUCAUAGAGAUUCAUUG